rnacentral:pre_miRNA from 11 species
GCGAGAAAAGAUCCCUAUUUCGUUUCUAAGUACUAGUGCCGCAGGAGAAUGGACCUUUACACAGCUCCUGCUGCUCCAGUGCUUAUCAAUGGAAAGGGUGAACCACGAGA